CGCACCUUGCGCUCCUUGGUAUUCCGAGGAGCAUGCCUGUUUGAGUGUCGUGAAAUUCUCAACCUCUCUAUGUUUUAAUAUUUUAAAGCUAGUCAGGCUUGGAUUUUGGGAAUUGCUGGUUCAUUAAUGAAGUCAGCUCUCCUUAAAUGUAUUAGCAAGAUUCAUCGCUGGCUCACUUGUGAUAUGAUAAUUAUCUAUGUCAUCAAUGAAACAGUGUUUUCCUUCCCAGGAAAGAUCUAGCUUCUAAAUGUCUCGUCUGAGAUAAUUUAUUUGACUAUUUGACCUCAAAUCAGGUAGGACUACCCGCUGAACUUAA
rnacentral:misc_RNA from 1 species